UACGGAGGGUGCAAGCGUUGUCCGGAAUUACUGGGCUUAAAGGGUGCGUAGGCUGCGCAGAAAGUUGGGUGUGAAAUCCCUCGGCUCAACCGAGGAACUGCGCCCAAAACUACUGUGCUCGAGGAAGACAGAGGUGAGCGGAACUUAGGGUGGAGCGGUGAAAUGCGUUGAUAUCCUAAGGAACACCCGUGGCGAAAGCGGCUCACUGGGUCUUUUCUGACGCUGAGGCACGAAAGCUAGGGUAGCGAACGGG
rnacentral:rRNA from 1 species